CACACUGUAAACGAUGAUAACUCGCUGCCGGCGAUACACAGUCGGUAGCCAAGCGAAAGCGAUAAGUUAUCCACCUGGGGAGUACGACCGCAAGGUUGAAACUCAAAGGAAUUGACGGGGGCCCGCACAAGCGGAGGAACAUGUGGUUUAAUUCGAUGAUACGCGAGGAACCUUACCCGGGCUCGAACGGUGCAUGAAUAAGCAAGAGAUUGUUUAGUCCUUCGGGACAUGUAUCGAGGUGC
rnacentral:rRNA from 1 species